rnacentral:rRNA from 1 species
ACGAACGCUGGCGGCGUGCUUAACACAUGCAAGUCGAACGGAAAGGCCCUGCUUUUGUGGGGUGCUCGAGUGGCGAACGGGUGAGUAACACGUGAGUAACCUGCCCUUGACUUUGGGAUAACUUCAGGAAACUGGGGCUAAUACCGGAUAGGAGCUCCUGCUGCAUGGUGGGGGUUGGAAAGUUUCGGCGGUUGGGGAUGGACUCGCGGCUUAUCAGCUUGUUGGUGGGGUAGUGGCUUACCAAGGCUUUGACGGGUAGCCGGCCUGAGAGGGUGACCGGCCACAUUGGGACGGAGAUACGGCCCAGACGCCUACGGGAGGCAGCAGUGGGGAAUAUUGCACAAUGGGCGGAAGCCUGAUGCAGCAACGCCGCGUGCGGGAUGACGGCCUUCGGGUUGUAAACCGCUUUCGCCUGUGACGAAGCGUGAGUGACGGUAAUGGGUAAAGAAGCACCGGCUAACUACGU